GCCUUUAAGGGUCAUGGUCUGUUUAAGAAAGAGGAGCCUAAAGUGGAGGAAGUUGUGGAAGAGAAAGCAAAGGUGGAGGAAGUUGUGGAAGAGAAAAAAGAUGAAGAGAAGAAGGAAGAGUGUGAGAAAGAAGUGGUGCAGGAGGAUGUUAAGGAGAAGGAGAGUGAGACGGUUGAGGAGAAGGAAAAGGUGGAAGAAGGAGAGGAAUCUUCGAAGAAGAGUGUUGAGAAGAAGGGGUUGAAUAAGUUCAAAUCAACAAUUCAAGAAGCCUUCAAGGGUCACAGUCUGUUUGGUAAAAAGUCUAAGAAGGAGGUAGAGGAGAAGAAGGAAGAGUUGAAGCCCGAGGGUGAUGAAAAGGUUGAGGAAGAGCCAAAGCCCGAGGGGGAUGACAAGGUGGAUGCAGAAUCAAAGCCUGAGUGCGAGGAGAAGGUGGAGGAGAAAGAAAAAGAGGAAGUAGUGGAGGUGGUUGAAACUGAAGUAUGCGAGGAGAAAGAACCUGAGGUAGUUGUGGAGGAAGUAGUGGAGGAGAUCAAAACUGAAGAAUGCGAGGAAGAAAAGAAGGUUGAGGAGGUUAUUGAGGUAGCUGAGGAAGAAAAGAAAGUUGAGGAG
rnacentral:lncRNA from 1 species